GGGUUGUGAGGUUAAGCGACUAAGCGUACACGGUGGAUGCCCUGGCAGUCAGAGGCGAUGAAGGACGUGCUAAUCUGCGAUAAGCGUCGGUGAGGUGAUAUGAACCGUUAUAACCGGCGAUUUCCGAAUGGGGAAACCCAGUGUGUUUCGACACACUAUCAUUAACUGAAUCCAUAGGUUAAUGAGGCGAACCGGGGGAACUGAAACAUCUAAGUACCCCGAGGAAAAGAAAUCAACCGAGAUUCCCCCAGUAGCGGCGAGCGAACGGGGAGGAGCCCAGAGCCUGAAUCAGUGUGUGUGUUAGUGGAAGCGUCUGGAAAGGCGCGCGAUACAGGGUGACAGCCCCGUACACAAAAAUGCACAUACUGUGAGCUCGAUGAGUAGGGCGGGACACGUGGUAUCCUGUCUGAAUAUGGGGGGACCAUCCUCCAAGGCUAAAUACUCCUGACUGACCGAUAGUGAACCAGUACCGUGAGGGAAAGGCGAAAAGAACCCCGGCGAGGGGAGUGAAAAAGAACCUGAAACCGUGUACGUACAAGCAGUGGGAGCCUCUUAAUGGGGUGACUGCGUACCUUUUGUAUAAUGGGUCAGCGACUUAUAUUCUGUAGCAAGGUUAACCGAAUAGGGGAGCCGAAGGGAAACCGAGUCUUAACUGGGCGUUAAGUUGCAGGGUAUAGACCCGAAACCCGGUGAUCUAGCCAUGGGCAGGUUGAAGGUUGGGUAACACUAACUGGAGGACCGAACCGACUAAUGUUGAAAAAUUAGCGGAUGACUUGUGGCUGGGGGUGAAAGGCCAAUCAAACCGGGAGAUAGCUGGUUCUCCCCGAAAGCUAUUUAGGUAGCGCCUCGUGAAUUCAUCUCCGGGGGUAGAGCACUGUUUCGGCAAGGGGGUCAUCCCGACUUACCAACCCGAUGCAAACUGCGAAUACCGGAGAAUGUUAUCACGGGAGACACACGGCGGGUGCUAACGUCCGUCGUGAAGAGGGAAACAACCCAGACCGCCAGCUAAGGUCCCAAAGUCAUGGUUAAGUGGGAAACGAUGUGGGAAGGCCCAGACAGCCAGGAUGUUGGCUUAGAAGCAGCCAUCAUUUAAAGAAAGCGUAAUAGCUCACUGGUCGAGUCGGCCUGCGCGGAAGAUGUAACGGGGCUAAACCAUGCACCGAAGCUGCGGCAGCGACACUAUGUGUUGUUGGGUAGGGGAGCGUUCUGUAAGCCUGUGAAGGUGUGCUGUGAGGCAUGCUGGAGGUAUCAGAAGUGCGAAUGCUGACAUAAG
rnacentral:rRNA from 1 species